rnacentral:misc_RNA from 1 species
GAUGAAGAACGCAGCGAAAUGCGAUAAGUAGUGUGAAUUGCAGAAUUCAGUGAAUCAUCGAAUCUUUGAACGCACAUUGCGCCCCUUGGUAUUCCAUGGGGCAUGCCUGUUCGAGCGUCAUUUGUACCUUCAAGCUCUGCUUGGUGUUGGGUGUUUGUCUCGCCUUGCGCGUAGACUCGCCUUAAAACAAUUGGCAGCCGGCGUAUUGAUUUCGGAGCGCAGUACAUCUCGCGCUUUGCACUCAUAACGACGACGUCCAAAAGUGCUUUUUACACUCUUGACCUCGGAUCAGGUAGGGAUACCCGCUGAACUUAAGCAUAUCAAUAAGCGGAGGA